UCAUGAAUUUGUGGUUGAAAUUAGGUGAUUGAUUAAAGUUAAAACGCGUGUGGGACCCGCCUGUGACUUAAGUGAGUCAAACUCACCAUUUCUUCACACUUUCUCUCUCCUCCCCUCCUUCUUCUUCACGCUGGAACAGCCUCCCCCAUGCCCAUUUCUUCUUGAUUUUCUUUUCUUCACAAAUCACUCAUUUCUCCACCAAAUCCAACAAAAUUUGUGUUGAAAUUUGUUGGAAAAGACCUUCUAAACACAUUGGUACCACUCUUAAGCCUUGAAAUCGCCUCUUUGUGGAGCAUUUGGCAAAAAUCAGAUCCGAAAAUUUGAAGAAAAUUGGAUGUUCAUGGAGCUUUUGAUCUUCCAUUGCUUGGAGGAGUCUUGGGUUAGCUUCUAGCCUUUGUUGUGAGUUGCCGUACAUCGACUUGAAUCCCGAAUCUUGAUUCAGUGAGUUGCCAUUGGUCUUGGACCAAGUGGAUUGAGGCAUUCCGCUGUGUACCGAGUUGAGGGAUAAGCUGCUGCGGAGCUUGUGGAAACACGAAUUAAGGAGGUAGCAGUGGAGCAGGAGCCUCGGGCAAGAGGCCCGCAGAGUGAGCGCUGGAGCGCUUCAUAUUUUGCAUUUUGUUGGCCGUGUGGCCUAGGCUAGACUUAGGGCAUGAACAUGUCAUUUGUAUUUAUUAGUAGCUUCAUUAGCAUCUUGUUCAUGCCAUUUUGCCUAAGUCUAGUAGUGAUGUAUUUGGUUAUGUUGUCUUUUAAAUUAAGUUGAAAUUUUAGAAGAAUGUAAUUUGAAGUUUUAGUUUCAAGUUGUAAUUUGUAAAGCCAUAUUGUAAUAGUAUUGAUGCAUGUCUAACUAUGAUGGAAGGGCCUUAGGCUUAUCUUAGGUUAUGAUAAUAUGUAUGAUGGAAAUAUGCAUGAAA